UACUCCCGAGUAGCACGGGGCUCGUGAAAUCUCGUGUGAAUCUGCCAGGACCACCUGGUAAGCCUGAAUACUUCCUGAUGACCGAUAGCGGAUCAGUACCGUGAGGGAAUGGUGAAAAGUACCCCGGGAGGGGAGUGAAAGAGUUCCUGAAACCGGUCGCAUGCAAGCCGUCAGAGCCUGUGUGGUGAUGGCGUGCCUUUUGAAGAAUGAGCCUGCGAGUUAGUGAUGCGUGGCGAGGUUAACCCGUGUGGGGUAGCCGUAGCGAAAGCGAGUCCGAACAGGGCGUAGCUGUCUUUUUGGAGAUGGUGGAGUCGCGGGGUGUAGACCCGAAGCGGAGUGAUCUACCCAUGGCCAGGUUGAAGCGCGUGUAAGAGCGCGUGGAGGACCGAACCCACUUCAGUUGAAAAUGGAGGGGAUGAGCUGUGGGUAGGGGUGAAAGGCCAAUCAAACUCCGUGAUAGCUGGUUCUCCCCGAAAUGCAUUUAGGUGCAGCGUCGUGUGUUGCUUGCUGGAGGUAGAGCUACUGGAUGGCUGAUGGGCCCUACAAGGUUACUGACGUCAACCAAACUCCGAAUGCCAGUCAAGUGUAAGCGCGGCAGUGAGACUGUGGGGGAUAAGCUUCAUAGUCGAAAGGGAAACAGCCCAGACCAUCAACUAAGGCCCCUAAGCGUGUGCUAAGUGGGAAAGGAUGUGGAGUUGCAUAGACAACCAGGAGGUUGGCUUAGAAGCAGCCAUCCUUGAAAGAGUGCGUAAUAGCUCACUGGUCAAGUGAUUCCGCGCCGAUAAUGUAGCGGGGCUUAAGUUAUCCGCCGAAGCUGUGGCAACCUGUGUGGUUGGGUAGGGGAGCGUCGUGUCAGUGGUGAAGCUGCCGGGUGACUGUGUGGUGGAGUUGAUGCGAGUGAGAAUGCAGGCAUGAGUAGCGAAUGACGGGUGAGAAACCCGUCCGCCGAAUAUCCAAGGGUUCCAGGGUCAAGCUAAUCUGCCCUGGGUAAGUCGGGACCUAAGGCGAGGCCGACAGGCGUAGUCGAUGGACAACGGGUUGAUAUUCCCGUACCGGCGAAGAACCGCCCAAGUCAUCCAGUAAUGCUAAGCACCUGAAUACCACGGGUUCUCCUUCGGGAGUCUCCGUGGGGCUAGCGUGCGACCCUAUGCUGGUGCGGCUAACGUAUUAACAGGUGUGACGCAGGAAGGUAGCCUCCGCGGGGCGAUGGUUGUCCCCGUCUAAGGAUGUAGGGCGAACGAUAGGCAAAUCCGUCGUUCACAUGCCUGAGAUCUGAUGGUGAGUCCGUAUGGACGAAGAGGGUGAUCCUAUGCUGCCGAGAAAAGCAUCGACGUGAGGUUCUAGCCGCCCGUACCCUAAACCGACUCAGGUGGUCAGGUAGAGAAUACCAAGGAGAUCGAGAGAAUCGUGGUUAAGGAACUCGGCAAAAUGCCCCCGUAACUUCGGGAGAAGGGGGGCCUGAGGCGUGAAGAGAUUUACUCUCCGAGCGUUUGAAGGCCGCAGAGACCAGUGGGAAGCGACUGUUUACUAAAAACACAGGUCCGUGCGAAGUCGUAAGACGAUGUAUACGGACUGACGCCUGCCCGGUGCUGGAAGGUUAAGAGGACCGGUCAGCCCUCCUUGUGGGGGUGAAGCUGAGAAUUUAAGCCCCAGUAAACGGCGGUGGUAACUAUAACCAUCCUAAGGUAGCGAAAUUCCUUGUCGGGUAAGUUCCGACCUGCACGAAUGGAGUAACGACUUCCCUACUGUCUCAACCAUG
rnacentral:rRNA from 1 species